rnacentral:rRNA from 1 species
ACGUAGGGGGCAAGCGUUAUCCGGAUUUACUGGGUGUAAAGGGAGCGUAGACGGCACGGCAAGCCAGAUGUGAAAGCCCGGGGCUCAACCCCGGGACUGCAUUUGGAACUGCUGAGCUAGAGUGUCGGAGAGGCAAGUGGAAUUCCUAGUGUAGCGGUGAAAUGCGUAGAUAUUAGGAGGAACACCAGCGGCGAAGGCGGCUUGCUGGACGAUGACUGACGUUGAGGCUCGAAAGCGUGGGGAGCAAACAG